GACGAACGCUGGCGGCGUGCUUAACACAUGCAAGUCGAACGGAAAGGCCCUGCUUUUGUGGGGUGCUCGAGUGGCGAACGGGUGAGUAACACGUGAGUAACCUGCCCUUGACUUUGGGAUAACUUCAGGAAACUGGGGCUAAUACCGGAUAGGAGCUCCUGCUGCAUGGUGGGGGUUGGAAAGUUUCGGCGGUUGGGGCUGGACUCGCGGCUUAUCAGCUUGUUGGUGGGGUAGUGGCUUACCAAGGCUUUGACGGGUAGCCGGCCUGAGAGGGUGACCGGCCACAUUGGGACUGAGAGACGGCCCAGACUCCUACGGGAGGCAGCAGGAGGGAAUCUUCCGCAAUGGGCGAAAGCUUGACGGAGCAACGCCGCGUGAGUGAUGAAGGUCUUCGGAUCGUAAAACUCUGUUAUUAGGGAAGAACAAAUGUGUAAGUAACUAUGCACGUCUUGACGGUACCUAAUCAGAAAGCCACGGCUAACUACGUG
rnacentral:rRNA from 1 species